UUUGUGCUCCAGGGUCACAAAUAGUUAUCAAGCAGUCUAAGAAAUAAGCAAUCAUCAAAAAGGGCUAACUUUAUUACAUUUAAACAGUUAAGAAGCAAUGAAGAAGGCCUGAAGAUGAAAACAUGAGACUGUUUCGCUCUCUUUCAGCCUCCCUCCAAACUCCUCUCCAGUAUUCUGGGCAAGAGUAACCUGCAGUUUGCUGGGAUGAGCAUCAACCUCAACAUAUCCACCAGCAGUUUGAACCUGAUGACACCGGACUCCAAACAGGUCCAGAAACACACACUUAUCUCCUCUCUUUCUCUCUCUCUCGGAGCAGAUGAAUGAUGCUCCUUCCUGUUUCCACAGAUAAUAGCCAAUCAUCACAUGCAGUCCAUAUCCUUUGCCUCCGGUGGAGAUCCGGACACGACUGAUUACGUCGCUUAUGUGGCGAAAGAUCCUGUUAACCGGAGAGGUAUUAUUCCCGUCUAUUCCUCUGCUGCAUGCUCUGAUGAUCAAUGUGGCAUUUUUUGGAUGUUAAAAUACUUUAUCAUUUCCAGCUAUAAAUAAUCCUUUCUUGCAUCUUGAGAAGCCAAAAGCUGAAACAAAUCCAUCAUUAAGAUGUUUUAAGUUUAAACCAUUGCUUCCAUAAUCCAUAAUAACAUUUCCUCCAGUGAAAAAGUGCAUCUCUUGUUGUCUCUCACAUCAAAAUCCAGCCACAGAUUUGUUUAGAGCUGUUUAAACGGUGCUUGAUCUGUGCAGAUUUCUCUCCUGAUUCAGACCAGAACACUUUUUCACUGGAGAAAGCCUUAUUAUGGCUAAAGGACUCGUAUUUUAGCUAGAAUCAUCCGUUUAAAGUUAAACAUCUUAGUGAUGUAUUUGUUCUAUAUAAACACACAGCUUUUGUCUUCUUUAGAUGUUAACUGAUGCACUGGUGUGGUGUGGAUUAUUUGUGGAUUAUUGUGAUGUUUUUAUCAGCUGUUUGGACUCUCAUUCUGACGGCACCCAUUCACUGCAGAGAAUUGUAAUUUUUGGGUGAACUGUUCCUUUAAGAGAAUAACACAGUGGCUAUAAAAACAUUGCAGGGCCUGUAACUUAAUUUCUCUGCAAUACU
ensembl:lncRNA